GUCAUCUCCCAAUUUUGGAUUCCCUGUAUUCGAAGCGGAAGAAGAUGAUGUUGAAGGGAUUCUUGACGAGAUUUCCCGACUUCUUGAGCAAGAAAAGAAGAUCACUCAGCUGCAUCUCGAGAAUCAGCAGAACAGCCAACUGGGGCAUAUACAUACAAAAAAAAAAGAGGAGGGUGCAAAACAAAAAAAAAUCAAAAGAUAUCA
rnacentral:lncRNA from 1 species